GCGGUAACGGCAAACAGGAAACUUCAAUUCGCAUUUCAAGAUAAGUUCUACAAGUUUCCGAAGGUUUCGAUCUGCCGUAUUAAAAAACGUCAAUCAUAAGUCUUAACCUCGCUCUGGUUACAGUCCCUAUAAUAUAAAUUUAAUUAAUCGUAAACGAAAAAUUUCAGAGCAAACUACUCGAUAGCUUAUUUGUAAACAAGGAAAUAUGUUUACAGAAAUCUAGCCUGGAUCUAUUUGCUCAUGGAAUGAUGCGAUUUUGUAUGUAUCAAUUGAAAACAGUACGUAUAAUGCC